GACAGAGGGUGCAAACGUUGUUCGGAAUUACUGGGCGUAAAGCGUGUGUAGGCGGCCUUGCAAGUCGGAUGUGAAAGCCCCGGGCUCAACCCGGGAAGUGCACCCGAUACUGCUAGGCUCGAGUACCGGAGAGGUUGGUGGAAUUCUCGGUGUAGAGGUGAAAUUCGUAGAUAUCAGGAGGAACACCGGUGGCGAAGGCGGGUCUCUGGGCCGAUACUGACGCUGAGGAGCGAAAGCGUGGGGAGCGAACAGG
rnacentral:rRNA from 1 species